CGGGGUGUGGCCCAGUUUGGCUAGGGUGCCUGAUUUGGGAUCAGGAGGUCGCAGGUUCGAGUCCUGUCACCCCGACUA
rnacentral:tRNA from 1 species